rnacentral:rRNA from 1 species
CCUACGGGAGGCAGCAGUAGGGAAUAUUGCUCAAUGGGGGAAACCCUGAAGCAGCAACGCCGCGUGGAGGAUGAAGGUUUUCGGAUUGUAAACUCCUUUUGUUAGAGAAGAUAAUGACGGUAUCUAACGAAUAAGCACCGGCUAACUCCGUGCCAGCAGCCGCGGUAAUACGGAGGGUGCAAGCGUUACUCGGAAUCACUGGGCGUAAAGAGCGCGUAGGCGGGAUUGCAAGUUAGAUGUGAAAUCCUAGGGCUUAACCAUAGAACUGCAUUUGAAACUGUUUAUCUAGAGUAUGGGAGAGGUAGGUGGAAUUCUUGGUGUAGGGGUAAAAUCCGUAGAGAUCAAGAGGAAUACUCAUUGCGAAGGCGACCUGCUAGAACAUAACUGACGCUGAUGCGCGAAAGCGUGGGGAGCAAACAGGAUUAGAUACCCCAGUAGUC